ACCUAAAAUAUAUUUCUCAAACUCUGUUUCACAGAACGAUAGUCCCAAGAGGUGGUCCUUGGCAAGCUGGUUCUGUAGUGGAAGAAGACUGGAAAUGACUGCCUACCGCUGCUCUCACAUGAAGUUUCUCACUCAUCGGGAACCAAGGUGUUGGGAGAAUCAAGGAAGCAAUUUCUGAUGAAGUCUUUGUUAUGACACAGAUAGGCUCCUGGGGGAACCUAAGAAAGUAAGCCACAAGAUGGCCCCAGAAUUAGACACUGCUGCCCAACAUUCGUGCGACUUCUCCAUCUCCAGUUCUUGACAGACGAUCAAGACUAGUCACCAGGAGAACUGACUGUGGUUCUUUAAAGGAGCAUAUAAUUAUAAUGCUUGGUACUUAAGGGAUGUCUUUUAUUUCAAGCUCUUUCAGCACCUAAGGAGUUUUAACUCCAUAAUCUUGGCAGCUUUUCAUUACAUUACU
rnacentral:lncRNA from 10 species